AGAACCAUAUAAGAUAUAGGCUAUAGAUAUAUUGGGCAUAUCAGGGUAAUUAACUUUUUCCAUGAUAUACUAGAUGGACAAGUUAGACAAUCCUACUGCACCAAUGGUGGCGCUCUGCAAAAAUAUAUUUUUCCUACGACAACUAAAGAUUAGAAUGACUAGAUAAAGGAUCGAGUCAGAUGAUUUUGCCUAAGCAACAUGCUUUUUC
rnacentral:lncRNA from 1 species